rnacentral:rRNA from 1 species
GAUGAACGCUGGCGGCGUGCCUAAUACAUGCAAGUCGAGCGAAUGGAUUAAGAGCUUGCUCUUAUGAAGUUAGCGGCGGACGGGUGAGUAACACGUGGGUAACCUGCCCAUAAGACUGGGAUAACUCCGGGAAACCGGGGCUAAUACCGGAUAACAUUUUGAACCGCAUGGUUCGAAAUUGAAAGGCGGCUUCGGCUGUCACUUAUGGAUGGACCCGCGUCGCAUUAGGUAGUUGGUGAGGUAACGGCUCACCAAGGCAACGAUGCGUAGCCGACGUGAGAGGGUGAUCGGCCACACUGGAACUGAGACACGGCCCAGACUCCUACGGGAGGCAGCAGUAGGGAAUCUUCCGCAAUGGACGAAAGUCUGACGGAGCAACGCCGCGUGAGUGAUGAAGGCUUUCGGGUCGUAAAACUCUGUUGUUAGGGAAGAACAAGUGCUAGUUGAAUAAGCUGGCACCUUGACGGUACCUAACCAGAAAGCCACGGCUAACUACGUGCCAGCCGCCGCCGUAA